rnacentral:rRNA from 1 species
UACAGAGGUCUCAAGCGUUGUUCGGAUUCAUUGGGCGUAAAGAGCGUGUAGGCGGCUCGGUAAGUCUGCUGUGAAAGUCCAGGGCUCAACCCUGGAAGGCCGGUGGAAACUGUCGGGCUAGAGUCCGGAAGAGGCGAGUGGAAUUCCCGGUGUAGCGGUGAAAUGCGCAGAUAUCGGGAAGAACACCCGUGGCUAAGGCGGCUCUCUAGUACGGUACUGACGCUGAGACGCGAAAGCGUGGGGAGCGAACAGG